GCCCGGGUGGUCUAGUGGUAUGAUUCUCGCUUAGGGAAAACCUAAGCAUAAAUGCGAGAGGUCCCGCGUUCGAUCCGCGGCUCGGGCC
rnacentral:tRNA from 5 species